AACGAACGCUGGCGGCAGGCUUAACACAUGCAAGUCGAGCGCCCCGCAAGGGGAGCGGCGGACGGGUGAGUAACGCGUGGGAAUCUACCCAUCUCUACGGAAUAACGCAUGGAAACGUGUGCUAAUACCGUAUACGUCCUUCGGGAGAAAGAUUUAUCGGAGAUGGAUGAGCCCGCGUUGGAUUAGCUAGUUGGUGGGGUAAAGGCCUACCAAGGCGACGAUCCAUAGCUGGGCUGAGAGGAUGAUCAGCCACACUGGGACUGAGACACGGCCCAGGCUGCUACGGGAGGCAGCAGUGGGGAAUAUUGGACAAGGGGCGCAAGCCGGAUCCAGCCAUGCGGCGUGAGGGAUGAAGGCCCUAGGGUUGUAAAGCUCUUUCACCGGUGAAGAUAAUGACGGUAACCGGAGAAGAAGCCCCGGCUAACUUCGUGCCAGCCGCCGCCGUAACAC
rnacentral:rRNA from 1 species